rnacentral:rRNA from 1 species
AUUAGUGGCGAACGGGUGAGUAACACGUGAGUAACCUGCCCUUGACUCUGGGAUAACCUCCGGAAACGGAAGCUAAUACCGGAUAUGACGUACGGAGGCAUCUCCUGUACGUGGAAAGAAUUUCGGUCAAGGAUGGACUCGCGGCCUAUCAGGUAGUUGGUGAGGUAACGGCCCACCAAGCCUACGACGGGUAGCCGGCCUGAGAGGGUGACCGGCCACACUGGGACUGAGACACGGCCCAGACUCCUACGGGAGGCAGCAGUGGGGAAUAUUGCACAAUGGGCGCAAGCCUGAUGCAGCAACGCCGCGUGAGGGACGACGGCCUUCGGGUUGUAAACCUCUUUUAGUAGGGAAGAAGCGAAAGUGACGGUACCUGCAGAAAAAGCACCGGCUAACUACGUGCCAGCAGCCGCGGUAAUACGUAGGGUGCAAGCGUUGUCCGGAAUUAUUGGGCGUAAAGAGCUCGUAGGCGGUUUGUCGCGUCUGCUGUGAAAUCCCGAGGCUCAACCUCGGGCCUGCAGUGGGUACGGGCAGACUAGAGUGCGGUAGGGGAGAUUGGAAUUCCUGGUGUAGCGGUGGAAUGCGCAGAUAUCAGGAGGAACACCGAUGGCGAAGGCAGAUCUCUGGGCCGUAACUGACGC